GAUGAACGCUGGCGGCGUGCCUAAUACAUGCAAGUCGAGCGAAUGGAUUAAGAGCUUGCUCUUAUGAAGUUAGCGGCGGACGGGUGAGUAACACGUGGGUAACCUGCCCAUAAGACUGGGAUAACUCCGGGAAACCGGGGCUAAUACCGGAUAACAUUUUGAACCGCAUGGUUCGAAAUUGAAAGGCGGCUUCGGCUGUCACUUAUGGAUGGACCCGCGUCGCAUUAGCUAGUUGGUGUGGUAACGGCCCACCAAGGCAACGAUGCGUAGCCGACCUGAGAGGGUGAUCGGCCACACUGGGACUGGAACCCGGCCCAGACUCCUGCGGGAGGCAGCAGUAGGGAAUCUUCCGCAAUGGACGAAAGUCUGACGGAGCAACGCCGCGUGAGUGAUGAAGGCUUUCGGGUCGUAAAACUCUGUUGUUAGGGAAGAACAAGUGCUAGUUGAAUAAGCUGGCACCUUGACGGUACCUAACCAGAAAGCCACGGCUAACUACGUGCCAGCAGCCGCGGUAA
rnacentral:rRNA from 1 species